rnacentral:rRNA from 1 species
UACAGAGGGUGCAAGCGUUGUUCGGAAUUAUUGGGCGUAAAGCGCGUGUAGGCGGCGUUUGCAAGUUCGGGUGUGAAAGCCCUCAGCUUAACUGAGGAAGUGCGCCCGAAACUGCAGAGCUUGAGUACCGGAGAGGAUGGUGGAAUUCCCCAAGUAGAGGUGAAAUUCGUAGAUAUGGGGAGGAACACCGGUGGCGAAGGCGACCAUCUGGACGGAUACUGACGCUGAGACGCGAAAAGCGGUGGGUACGCAAACAGG